CACGUAGGGGGCAAGCGUUGUCCGGAUUUAUUGGGCGUAAAGAGCUCGUAGGUGGUUCGGUAAGUCGGGUGUUAAACCCCCAGGCUCAACCUGGGGACGCCACUCGAUACUGCUGUGACUAGAGUCCGGUAGGGGAGCGUGGAAUUCCUGGUGUAGCGGUGAAAUGCGCAGAUAUCAGGAGGAACACCAGCGGCGAAGGCGGGUUGCUGGGCUGACACUGACGCUGAGGCGCGAAAGCUAGGGGAGCGAACGGG
rnacentral:rRNA from 1 species